AGAGUUUGAUCCUGGCUCAGGAUGAACGCUGGCUACAGGCUUAACACAUGCAAGUCGAGGGGAAACGGCAUUGAGUGCUUGCACUGAAUGGACGUCGACCGGCGCACGGGUGAGUAACGCGUAUCCAACCUUCCCGUUACUGCGGGAUAACCUGCCGAAAGGCAGACUAAUACCGCAUGUUCUUCGAUGACGGCAUCAGAUUCGAAGCAAAGAUUCAUCGGUAACGGAGGGGGAUGCGUCUGAUUAGCUUGUUGGCGGGGCGACGGCCCACCAAGGCGACGAUCAGUAGGGGUUCUGAGAGGAAGGUCCCCCACAUUGGAACUGAGACACGGUCCAAACUCCUACGGGAGGCAGCAGUGAGGAAUAUUGGUCAAUGGGCGGAAGCCUGAACCAGCCAAGUAGCGUGCAGGAGGACGGCCCUACGGGUUGUAAACUGCUUUUAUGCGGGGAUAAAGUGAGGGACGUGUCCCUUCUUGCAGGUACCGCAUGAACAAGGACCGGCUAAAUCCGCGCCAGCAGCCGUGGUAAUACGGAAAGCCCGGGCCGCCUCCGGAUUUAUCGGGU
rnacentral:rRNA from 1 species